rnacentral:rRNA from 1 species
AUUGAACGCUGGCGGCAGGCCUAACACAUGCAAGUCGAGCGGGGUUUUCGGACCUAGCGGCGGACGGGUGAGUAAUGCGUAGGAAGCUACCCGAUAGAGGGGGAUACCAGUUGGAAACGACUGUUAAUACCGCAUAAUGUCUACGGACCAAAGUGUGGGACCUUCGGGCCACAUGCUAUCGGAUGCGCCUACGUGGGAUUAGCUAGUUGGUGAGGUAAUGGCUCACCAAGGCGACGAUUCCUAGCUCGUCUGAGAGGAUGAUCAGCUACACUGGAGCUGAGACGCGGUCAAGAGUCCUACGGGAGGCACCAGUAGGGAAUAUUGGACAAAGGGCGCAAGCCUGACCCAGCCAUGCCGCGUGUGUGAAGAAGGCCUUCGGGUUGUAAACCACUUUCAGCGAGGAGGAAGCGAGUUGUGUUAAUAGCACAGCUUUUUGACGUUACUCGCAGAAGAAGCACCGGCUAACUCUGUGCCCGCCGCCGCGGUAGAAC